AAAAAAAGCUUCAUAUAAUUUUUCUGUCAUUUGUAUUACCGUUUGAUCGGCAAGUGAAUUUCCCACAAGAUUCAGAAAUAGAAAUUUAACAAAAUCCCAGAAAAAUGGGCGAGAAACUGGAACUGAUAUCAUGACGGAAAUGCUAAAAACAACUAUGGCCGCCCUGAGGGACUCCAGAUGAUCAGAAUUCAGAACCAGAAAUCAGAGAGAUGAAAACUUAUUUCGACCCUUUGACUAAUUUACUGUUAUUGACUAUUGUGUUUAUUUUUAUUGACAUUUUAUACAUCAUGAUGUAUAUUGACCAGGUACAUUGUUUUUGUACAGUUUUGCAUGUAUUUAUUUUGUUUGUAUAUUUAUUUUUAUUUUGUGUGUUUUGUUUUGUUUUUAUGUUUUUUUUAUUAGCUUUGUCUACAAAAUGUUGUAAUUUUCUGACAAUAAAGCAUAUGAUUGAUAUCCA